rnacentral:rRNA from 1 species
UACGGGGGGGGUAAGCGUUGUUCGGAAUUACUGGGCGUAAAGGGCUCGUAGGCGGCCAACUAAGUCAGACGUGAAAUCCCUCAGCUUAACUGGGGAACUGCGUCUGAUACUGGAUGGCUUGGAUUCGGGAGAGGAAUGCGGAAUUCCAGGUGUAGCGGUGAAAUGCGUAGAUAUCUGGAGGAACACCGGUGGCGAAGGCGGCAUUCUGGACCGAUAUUGACGCUGAGGAGCGAAAGCCAGGUGAGCAAACGGG